rnacentral:lncRNA from 1 species
AUGAUUUGAAAAACUGAGUUCCAAAAAUUUCCCAAAUGACAAUCCCCAAGCAGCAUCAGACAUCAAUACCCUCCUGGUUGGAGGAGGGAAACCAUUGGUCCGAGGACAUCGCAGACACCUGUGCCACAUCCAUAUCUUUCCUUCCCGUUCUCCUGGCAAGAGACGUUCAGGUAGGUUCUUUACAGAGGUCCGGGGACAUCGCAGACACCUGUGCCACAUCCAUAUCUUUCCUUCCCAUUCUCCUGGCAAGAUACGUUCAGGUAGGUUCUUUACAGAAAUUGUGAGGCUGCCUUGCCGAUGAGUAUAGCAACGAACAUGUGCUUCUGGCGGCAUUUCACAUGAGGAACACCUAUAAUUCUG